AGUGAACGCUGGCGGUAGGCCUAACACAUGCAAGUCGAACGGCAGCACAGUAAGAGCUUGCUCUUACGGGUGGCGAGUGGCGGACGGGUGAGGAAUACAUCGGAAUCUACUUUUUCGUGGGGGAUAACGUAGGGAAACUUACGCUAAUACCGCAUACGACCUACGGGUGAAAGCAGGGGAUCUUCGGACCUUGCGCGAUUGAAUGAGCCGAUGUCGGGUUAGCUAGUUGGCGGGGUAAAGGCCCACCAAGGCGACGAUCCGUAGCUGGUCUGAGAGGAUGAUCAGCCACACUGGAACUGAGACACGGUCCAGACUCCUACGGGAGGCAGCAGUGGGGAAUAUUGGACAGUGGGCGCAAGCCUGAUCCAGCCAUACCGCGUGGGUGAAGAAGGCCUUCGGGUUGUAAAGCCCUUUUGUUGGGAAAGAAAAGCAGCAGGUUAAUACCCCGCUGUUCUGACGGUACCCAAAGAAUAAGCACCGGCUAACUUCGUG
rnacentral:rRNA from 1 species